rnacentral:rRNA from 1 species
GACGGAGGAUGCAAGCGUUAUCCGGAAUGAUUGGGCGUAAAGCGUCCGCAGGUGGCAGUUCAAGUCUGCUGUCAAAGACCGGGGCUUAACUUCGGAAAGGCAGUGGAAACUGAACAGCUAGAGUAUGGUAGGGGCAGAGGGAAUUCCUGGUGUAGCGGUGAAAUGCGUAGAGAUCAGGAAGAACACCGGUGGCGAAGGCGGAUCUCUGGGCCUUACCUGACGCUCAGGUGCGAAAGCUAGGGGAGCGAACAGG